AAACAGUAGUUUAAAGGGUAGAUUUCCCUUUCUAAUAUCCUGUUCUUUGUUCAAUGUCAUUCUGUAAUGUUGUUUCAGCUCCAUUAUCUAGCGUAAUAACUUGCUUUUGAAAAGGCAUGCCAAGGCUGAAGUGAGUUAUUAUUAAGCCACAUACAGUAAUGACAGAGAACACACAUUAUAUGACACUCAACAGGCAAGAAUGAAAUAUCUGGAAAAUGUAGGUGAUAUCCCUUUAAGGAGAAAAGAAAAGUUUUAAAGGGGAAAACUGCUGACAGCCUAAAAAAAAAAAAAAGGAUGUGAAAAGCAAGUAUAAUCAUUUACUUUAAUUGUAUCACAACUCAAAAAAGGAUUCAACUAUCCAUGCUGAUUUGUGGCA